GAUGAACGCUGGCGGCGUGCCUAAUACAUGCAAGUCGAGCGAACAGACGAGGAGCUUGCUCCUUUGACGUUAGCGGCGGACGGGUGAGUAACACGUAGGUAACCUACCUAUAAGACUGGGAUAACUUCGGGAAACCGGAGCUAAUACCGGAUAAUAUUUCGAACCGCAUGGUUCGAUAGUGAAAGAUGGCUUUUCUAUCACUUAUAGAUGGACCUGCGCCGUAUUAGCUAGUUGGUAAGGUAACGGCUUACCAAGGCAACGAUACGUAGCCGACCUGAGAGGGGGAUCGGCCACACUGGAACUGAGACACGGUCCAGACUCCUACGGGAGGCAGCAGUAGGGAAUCUUCCGCAAUGGGCGAAAGCCUGACGGAGCAACGCCGCGUGAGUGAUGAAGGUCUUCGGAUCGUAAAACUCUGUUAUUAGGGAAGAACAAACGUGUAAGUAACUGUGCACGUCUUGACGGUACCUAAUCAGAAAGCCACGGCUAACUACGUG
rnacentral:rRNA from 1 species